CCACGGAAGUAUCUUCCUCGAGAAGACAGUCGCCCUCUUCGUUCAGCUGAUCCGUUUUUACCGGAUUUGGUUAUUUGGACGCGAUAAAAAUGGAGAUCGUUGUUACGGAUGGAGAAUUACGGAUCGAUUUGAAAUUGAGUAGAAGAAGAGGAUGAAACGACUAUUCGGACACGGUGAGACACACGUGGGGCGCGGAAGCAAGCCGUUAGAAGACUGGCCGAACUUGAGAGGCAUCCCUUGGCCUCGAUGCUAAACACACAUAACUUAUAUGAUCUUCUAAGUAUCUUUCUCUUGUCAUGACAAUGAAAUUUACAGAUAUCAAUCGGUAAUUUCGUACAGCUCAAUUAUUAUAAACAAGAUAGAAAAUAAAAUGGUGCAACAAGCAAUGGUGAAACAGUAAAAUACCAAUCGAUCGAUUACCUGGAGAAACAGCAUGAAGCAGACC